UUCCGAUUUAAACGCUCCAGUUCUCGCGCUUUUAUUCUCUGCCUGGCAAUGCUGGACUUUGUGGCUUGUGUGAUAGGAAUGCCUUACCAUAUUUAUGACAUGUACCAUACUUACAUCUACUAUGACGAGGCCUCUUGUAAAGGACUGUCCUAUAUACUUGGAGUUACUGUGACAGCCUCUUCUAUUAUCUUGACUAUAAUCGCCAUUGACAGAUACCAAAAAAUAUGCAAACCGUUUGGAAAACAGAUCUCGGAUCUUGGAACUAAAAAGGCGUGUGUUGCCUCGGUGAUUGUGGCGAUUGUAUUUAGCAUCCCGCACAUCGUUAUGUACGGCAACGCCUCUAUAGAAGUCGAGGGCGCGAAUUUUACCGGAGUGGAAUGCUACAUUAAAGAUGAAUACGAGGAGUCUUCCACGUCUUAUAUUUAUUUUGGGUUUUUCUUUUUCCUGUUUAUAACCACAACAACGGCUCUGAUCGUGCUGUAUUCUCUAGUUGGAUGCAAGAUCCGACGGCGGGCAACCAACAUCAGCUCUGACAACGGGUCCACCAGAAAGGAGAGGCCUGUCGCAAAGGCCAGGUCCUUCAGUAUUUGCGGGUCCGAUCCGGAAACAUCCAACGAGAUUCUGUCGGAGACCGACGACAGUAUAUCCGCCAUUAAAGUGAAGACCAUCUCCUACAAAAAAGGAAACGCGGAGAGCAUGUCGGAAUGUAAGUUGGAGUACGAGAACGCAGCGACGCCGAUCUUCACGGGCGUCAAACAACAGGAUAGAGACUCCAGCGCCUCUCGGAAUUCGCAGGCGAGAUCCCCAAACUCACCGAUGAUUCGGAACGCAGCAAGGGGAGAGAGCCGAAAGAAAAAGAAGUUUCUGGACAUUUACAGACGACAGACAAUGUCCAUCAGUGAUGAGGACAGCGAAGAAGGCCGAGAACAAAGUCAGCGGUCCUUUCGGAGCUCCUUGUCAGGAAAGUCGCUUUCUAAAAGACAAAAACGGACGGUCAGAAUUACGGGAAUGUUAUUUAUGAUCACGCUGGUUUAUAUUAUCAGCUAUCUCCCCCAUCUGGUGCUUCUGAUCCUGGAGUUUAUGGACCCCGCAGGCUUCGAGAACCUGUCUCCGUGGGCUUUCACGGGCUACAACUUUCUCCUCAGAUCCUAUUUUAUAAACAAUAUGGCGAACCCCAUUGUUUAUGGAUUUCUUGAUCCUAAAUUCAAAUACGAAGUUGUGUUUUUGUUUAAAAGCUGUAUGAACUGCAAGCAAAGGAGUAUCUCUCGGCGGUGAAUUAAUGGAGACGAAUUUAAUAUUUUGUUUUAUGUCUUUCAAAUGUUUAUGUUCAAAUCCCGAUGAAAAGAAUGUGCAGUGACAUAAUUUUCAUAUUAUUGCAAUGCCAAAGAAUAUAUUUAUUUAUUAUUGUUUAUAUUUAUAAGCUUUGUAAGAUUGUUAAAGAAUAUUUCCUAAGUUGACGCUUUUAGAAUAAAAAUCACGUGC
rnacentral:misc_RNA from 1 species